rnacentral:rRNA from 1 species
GACGAACGCUGGCGGCGUGCUUAACACAUGCAAGUCGAACGGAAAGGCCCUGCUUUUGUGGGGUGCUCGAGUGGCGAACGGGUGAGUAACACGUGAGUAACCUGCCCUUGACUUUGGGAUAACUUCAGGAAACUGGGGCUAAUACCGGAUAGGAGCUCCUGCUGCAUGGUGGGGGUUGGAAAGUUUCGGCGGUUGGGGAUGGACUCGCGGCUUAUCAGCUUGUUGGUGGGGUAGUGGCUUACCAAGGCUUUGACGGGUAGCCGGCCUGAGAGGGUGACCGGCCACAUUGGGACUGAGAUACGGCCCAGACUCCUACGUGAGGCAGCGGUGGGGAAUAUUGCACAAUGGGCGGAAGCCUGAUGCAGCAACGCCGCGUGCGGGAUGACGGCCUUCGGGUUGUAAACCGCUUUCGCCUGUGACGAAGCGUGAGUGACGGUAAUGGGUAAAGAAGCACCGGCUAACUACGUG